rnacentral:rRNA from 1 species
UGCCAGCCGCCGCGGUAAUACGUAGGGGGCAAGCGUUGUCCGGAUUUACUGGGUGUAAAGGGUGCGCAGGCGGACUUAUAAGUCAAGGGUGAAAUCCUACAGCUCAACUGUAGAACUGCCUUUGAAACUAUAAGUCUUGAGUUCGGAGGAGAGAGGCGGAAUUCCAGGUGUAGUGGUGAAAUACGUAGAUACCUGGAAGAACACCAGAGGCGAAGGCGGUCUCUUGGUCCGUAACUGACGCUGAGGCACGAAAGCGUGGGGAGCAAACAGGAUUAGAUA